rnacentral:rRNA from 1 species
GACGAACGCUGGCGACGUGCCUAAUACAUGCAAGUAGAACGCUGAAGGAGGAGCUUGCUUCUCUGGAUGAGUUGCGAACGGGUGAGUAACGCGUAGGUAACCUGCCUGGUAGCGGGGGAUAACUAUUGGAAACGAUAGCUAAUACCGCAUAAGAGUAGAUGUUGCAUGACAUUUGCUUAAAAGGUGCAAUUGCAUCACUACCAGAUGGACCUGCGUUGUAUUAGCUAGUUGGUGAGGUAACGGCUCACCAAGGCGACGAUACAUAGCCGACCUGAGAGGGUGAUCGGCCACACUGGGACUGAGACACGGCCCAGACUCCUACGGGAGGCAGCAGUAGGGAAUCUUCGGCAAUGGACGGAAGUCUGACCGAGCAACGCCGCGUGAGUGAAGAAGGUUUUCGGAUCGUAAAGCUCUGUUGUAAGAGAAGAACGAGUGUGAGAGUGGAAAGUUCACACUGUGACGGUAUCUUACCAGAAAGGGACGGCUAACUACGUG